CUUUUUUUUUUUUUUUUUUUUUUUUUUUUUUUUUUUUUUUUUUUUUC
rnacentral:ribozyme from 1 species